CCACCACUCCUCGGGUUCCCGCAGCGCGCCUUUCCUCAUGCUUGUAUUUUAAACAGUUAACAAUAACAAUCUUGGGAAAGGAAUGCACUGUGAAGGCCUGAGUUUACAGGAGGGAGUGUUUGAUCCUCAGAGUUGGACCAUAGGAAAUGGAAACAUAGGAAAAUGGAAACUUAUCUCUCCUACUCCAACUUCUUAACUACCUUUGGGAUCAGAGACAAUGAUUCAGAGGAACAGAGUUUCUCAAAGCACAGUCUUCACAGAAUGGGAAUCAAAGGGUGAUAUUUUGAGGACCAGAGUAGAGACGGAAGAAGGCAGUCAGCAAGUGGAAGAUGCUUGGAAUCCAUCUGUAUUCGCUUUAUUGGGAGGUACAAGGGCGGAGGCCUGGCCUUGGGUCUGCUAACACUGCUCCUCAGUGUCCUGGACAGCCACCCCUUCUGUCAGCACUUUUGGGGCAGAGGACAUAAGAGCCGAAAUAUUGUCACUAAUACGUAACGAUGUGGCUGUCACAUCAUUGUGGUAGAGUCUCUACCUCGUAAUUUAUAGCUUCCUUUUCUAGCCCCCUUUUACCUGUGACACUCUAGUGUAUUUCACCCUUGUGUAACACAUCCCAUUUAUCCUACUUUUACAUGUCUUAUGGGAUUCUAGCUUACUAUUUUUAGCAUGUCUCCUGAGUUCUGCCUGUCUCACAAGUUACUUGCUUACAUAUUAUCUAUAGUUGUGUUAGCUUUCAUUGCUGGGACCGAGUGUGUGACCAAUGUUAUAUAAAUGAGAAAAGCUUU